rnacentral:rRNA from 1 species
UAUUAAAGGAGAUCGUGAGCUGGCUUUAGACCGUCGUGAGACAGGUCGGUUACUAUCUGUUAGGGGUGUAUGAAGUCUGAGGGUAAGCUGCUUUUAGUACGAGAGGAACAAAGCAGCGGUGCCUCUGGUCGAUCGGUUGUCUGGCAAGGCAUUGCCGAGCAGCUAUGCACUAAAGGUUAAAGACUGAAAGCAUCUAAGUCUGAAACCACACCUAAAAAGAGACUUCGUAAAAGACGCUUGUAAAAGACAAGAUUGAUAGAGUCGGGGUGUACGCACCAAGGCAACGAGGUGUUUAGCUCGCGACUACUAAAGUCUGU